AUUGAACGCUGGCGGCAGGCCUAACACAUGCAAGUCGAGCGGCUGAAGGGAGCGUGCUCCUGGAUUCAGCGGCGGACGGGUGGGUGAUGCCUAGGAAUCUGCCUGGUAGCGGGGGAUAACGUGCGGAAACGGGGGCUAAUACGGCAUACGCCCAGAGGGAGAAAGGGGGGGAGCAUCGGACCUCACGCUAUCAGAUGAGCCAAGGUCGGAUUAGCUAGUUGGUGGGGUAAAGGCCUACCAGGGCGACGAUCCGUAACUGGUCUGAGAGGAUGAGCAGCCACACUGGAACUGAGACACGGUCCAGACUCCUACGGGAGGCAGCAGUGGGGAAUAUUGGACAAUGGGCGAAAGCCUGAUCCAGCCAUGCCGCGUGUGUGAAGAAGGUCUUCGGAUUGUAAAGCCCUUUAGGUUGGGAAGAAAAGCAGUAAGUUAAUACCUCGCUGUUUUGACGUUACCAAAAGAAUAAGCACCGGCUAACUUCGU
rnacentral:rRNA from 1 species